GAAGAAGUCCCCUCGACUUCGGGAAUUGCUUUAGCGCCGCGCCUCAAAACGCGGCGCUUUUUUUUGCCCAAU
rnacentral:sRNA from 1 species